rnacentral:rRNA from 1 species
UACGGGGGGGGCAAGCGUUGUUCGGAAUUACUGGGCGUAAAGGGCUCGUAGGCGGCCAACUAAGUCAGACGUGAAAUCCCUCGGCUUAACCGGGGAACUGCGUCUGAUACUGGAUGGCUUGAGUGUGGGAGAGGGAUGCGGAAUUCCAGGUGUAGCGGUGAAAUGCGUAGAUAUCAGAAGGAACACCCAUGGCGAAGGCAGCUCGCUGGCCUACAACUGACGCUGAGGCGCGAAAGCGUGGGGAGCAAACAGG